rnacentral:lncRNA from 1 species
AUGUUAUCAUGUAUAAAUGGCACUAUUUUUUCAAAGUUGAUGAAGUAUUACAAGAGAGUUAGUACUGCUGAGGGAAAAAGACACUACGUGUCGCACGCACGCACACACACACACACACACACACACACACACACACACACACACACACACACACACACACACACACACACACACACACACAACACACACACACCACCACAUCUGCUUUCCUCCAGUAACCUAUGUUCAAGAGCCAAGUGCUCUUCAUCUCCACAUCUGAGAAUCUCACCCCCACACACAGACCGUUUAUUCCUACUCUCAGCACCUACACACACAGACCGUUUAUUCCCUACUCUCAGGACCUACACACACAGACCCUUUAUUCCCUACUCUCAGCACCUACCACAGACCAUUUAUUCCCUACCUCAGCACCUACACAACAGACCCUUUACCUACUCUCAGCCACUACACACAGACCCUUAUUCCCACUCUCAGCACCUACACACAGACCCUUUAUUCCCAUCUCAGCACCACACACAAGACCCUUUAUUCCAUACUCCAGCACCUACACACAGACCCUUUAUUCCUAUUCCGCACCUACUCUCACACUACACACACAGACCCUGUAUUCCCUACUCUCAGCACCUCACACCAGACCCUUAUAUCCCUAUCCAGCACCUACACAAAGACCCUUUAUUCCCUACUCUCAGCACCUACACACACAGACCCUAUUCCCUAUUCUCAGCACCUACACAGCACACACCUUUAUUCUCCCUAUCUCAGCACCUACACACAGACCCUUUAUUCCCAUCCACACCUACACACAUCCCUUAUUCCUACUCCAGCACCUACACACAGACCCUUAUUCCCUACUCGAGCACCUACACACAGCCCUUUAAUCCCUACUCUCAGCACCUACACACAGACCCCGUUAUUUCCCUACUCUCAGCACCUACACACACAUUUUUUUUGUAGCUGAUGGUACAAACUUUGUCAUUCAAUAUGUGGUUCAAUAAUUUGUGUAAUGUGACACCACCCUGUAAUUUUGUGUAAAGGUUAUGUCGUAAUAAUGUCCUACCCUCUCCCCCCAAACGUCCUACAAUGUACUGGGUCGGAAUAAUCCCUCCUAACCCUGGGUAACUUUGGAUAGAGGACAGGGACAAGCUUGAGGACGGAGAUGGCAACUGUAUCUCAACACAUGUUGUAGUAAUGAUGUGUGU